rnacentral:rRNA from 1 species
AACCCUUGUCCUUAGUUUACCAGCACGUUAUGGUGGGCACUCUAAGGAGACUGCCGGUGCAAACCGGAGGAAGGUGGGGAUGACGUCAAGUCAUCAUGGCCCUUACGGCCUGGGCUACACACGUGCUACAAUGGUCGGUACAAAGGGUUGCCAAGCCGCGAGGUGGAGCUAAUCCCAUAAAACCGAUCGUAGUCCGGAUCGCAGUCUGCAACUCGACUGCGUGAAGUCGGAAUCGCUAGUAAUCGUGAAUCAGAAUGUCACGGUGAAUACGUUCCCGGGCCUU